rnacentral:lncRNA from 1 species
CAGGACAGUAAAGCAGACUGAGGGACCAGGUGUUGACAAUGUGGCCUAUUUCAGACGGGGUGGUCAACAGAGACCCCUCUAAAUUGGUGAGACUAAAAAAAAAAAAAAAAAAAAGAAGGUUGAAGGAGUUCCCUUUGUGGCUCAGCGGACGUGAAUCUUACUAGGAACCCUAAGGUUGCGGGUUCGAUCCCUGGCCUUGCUUAGUGCGUUAAGGAUCCAGCCAGGAGCUGUGGUGUAGGUCACAGACACGGCUCAGAUCCUGCAUUGCUGUAGCUGUGGUGGAGGCCAGCAGCUGUAGCUCUGACUGGACCCCUAGCCUGGGAACACCCAUGUGCCACGGGUGUGGCCCUAAAAAGCAAAACAAUCAAACAAAAAGUGGCGACAUUUCAUCCAAGACCUGAAUGAAGUAAAGCGGUAAACUGUGCAGAUAGCUGGGGAAGUACUCUCUGCUCUUGUGCAGAGCAGGCAGGACUGUGCCUGGACAGUUCAGGGGGCAGCAGGGUAUGCGAGCAUGGCUGGAAGCCAGCGGACGGCAGGGGUGUUGCCUAGGGGCUCGCAGUCAUUGGUGAGGAAGACAUGAGAGGGUUUGAGCCAGAGCGAUGCAAGGUCAUGGCUUUUUUACAUUUUCAAAUUAGAAAAAUUAUUUUUAAAAAAUUUUAUUGGAGUAUAGUUGACUUACAGGGUUGUAUUAAUUUCAGGUGUAUAGCAGAGUGAAUCAGUUAUAUAUAUAUACACACACACAUAUAUAUCCAUUCUUUUCCCCAUAUAGGUUAUUACAGAAUAUUGAGUAGAAUGCCCUGUGCUAUACAGUAGGUCCUUGUUACUUAUCUAUUUUAUCUACAGUAGUGUGUAUAUGUUUACCCUGCACCCCUAAUUUAUUCCUUCCCACCACAGUUUCCACUUGGGUUACCCUGAGAUUUCAAAAUCUGUGAGUUUUCUUCUGUUCUAUAACUAAGUUCUUUUGUAUCAUUUUUAUUAAAUAAGUGAUAUCCUAUAAUAUUUGUCUUUCUCCCUUGUAUUUCACCUAGUAUGAUAAUCUCUAGGUCCAUCCAUAUUGCUGCAAAUGGCAUUAUUUCAUUUUUUAUGGCCAAGUAAUACUCCAUUAAGAUUUUUUUUUUUUUUUUAAAACGUGAUCACUGUGCUUUGGUGUUACGCAUGGACUGUGUUGAUUCGUUGCCACGUUUUCAAGGUACUGGGCCUCUUAGUGUUAAGGAAAAACGGCUGUCGCCACUGUCUUUGUGGAGCUUCAGCUGAAGUUGGAGUUCCCGUCGUGGCUCAGCAGUUACCGAACCUGACUAGUAUCCGUGAGGGCACAGGUCGAUCCCAGGCCUUGCUCUGUGGGUUAAGGAUCUGGUGUUGGCGUGAGCUGUGGUGUAGGUCAGAGACACAGCUUGGAUCCUGUGUGGCUGUGGCUGUGGUGUAGGCCGGUGGCUACAGAUUGGAUUCAACCGCUAGCCUGGGAGCCUCCAUAUGCUGCAGGUGUGGCCCUAAAAUC